UGUAAACUAGGAUUAGAUACCCUAUUAUAAAAUUUUAAUUUAAAAUACUAAAAUAGUAGAUAAUAAUUUAUUGAAACUUAAAUAAUUUGGCGGUAUUUUAGUUCAUUUAGAGGAAUCUGUUUAAUAAUUGAUAAUCCACGAAUAAAUUUACUUAAUUUAAAAUUUUGUAUAUCGUUGUUAAAAAAAUAUUUUUAAAUAAUAAUAAUAUUUUAAAAUUUUAAAAAAAGUUAAUUCAGAUCAAGAUGCAGAUUAUAAUUAAGAAUAUAAUGGAUUACAAUAAAUUUAUUUAAAUGGAAAUAUAUUUUGAAAAAAAUAAUUGAAGGUGGAUUUAAAUGUAAUUUUAUUUAAUUAAUAAGAUGAUUGACUGCAUA
rnacentral:rRNA from 2 species